GGCCGGCGGCAGCCCGGGUCCUGCGCGCUGCUAGCUCUGCGCCUCCGCGGCGACGCCCAGGCGGGGCGGUCCCGGCUGCCGGCUGCGGCGGGGGGCUUUUCCUCUUCCCUCGCAUCUGUGUUCUGAUCGCGAAUUCAUCCAGGGUCCAGGAUGACGAUCCGACACCAAGGCCAGCAGUACAGGCCGAGGAUGGCAUUUCUGCAGAAGGAAAAGCAACUGCGAGGAGCUUCUGAAUCUGUGUGAGGAGCGAGCCUUAAAGCUGAAGGGCUGUGAGGUAUCUACCCAGCAGAGGAAGCAGGGACCCGGCGGCAGGAACAGCGUUUGCCAAUGCCCCGAGGGGUGAGAGUUGGGUAGAUCUGAAGGUAAAUUGUUUGCCAUUGCUGAGCUUGUGCAAGGCACGCAUGAGGCUGGACAGGCAGGAAGGGACAGAUCGUAAAGGCUUCCAUGCCUUAUAAAGAUGGUUCAGAUUUUCCUGGAAGAAGCCACUGAGGAAUUUGGAGCAGAAGGCAACUGAAAUGAAUAAACACUGCUCAGAAGAAG